rnacentral:rRNA from 1 species
CCUACGGGAGGCAGCAGUGAGGAAUAUUGGUCAAUGGACGCAAGUCUGAACCAGCCAUGCCGCGUGCAGGAUGACGGUCCUAUGGAUUGUAAACUGCUUUUGUACGAGAAGAAACAACAUUACGUGUAAUGUCUUGACGGUAUCGUAAGAAUAAGGAUCGGCUAACUCCGUGCCAGCAGCCGCGGUAAUACGGAGGAUCCAAGCGUUAUCCGGAAUCAUUGGGUUUAAAGGGUCCGUAGGCGGUUUAGUAAGUCAGUGGUGAAAGCCCAUCGCUCAACGGUGGAACGGCCAUUGAUACUGCUAGACUUGAAUUAUUAGAAAGUAACUAGAAUAUGUAGUGUAGCGGUGAAAUGAUUAGAGAUUACAUGGAAUACCAAUUGCGAAGGCAGGUUACUACUAAUUGAUUGACGCUGAUGGACGAAAGCGUGGGUAGCGAACAGGAUUAGAUACCCGGGUAGUC